UGGAGAGUAACACGUGGGUAACCUGCCCCGAAGCGGGGGAUAACAUUUGGAAACAAGUGCUAAUACCGCAUAAUUAGUUGGAACCGCAUGGUUCCAACUUGAAAGAUGGCUCUGCUAUCACUUUGGGAUGGACCCGCGCCGUAUUAGUUAGUUGGUGAGAUAAAAGCCCACCAAGACGAUGAUACGUAGCCGACCUGAGAGGGUAAUCGGCCACAUUGGGACUGAGACACGGCCCAGACUCCUACGGGAGGCAGCAGUAGGGAAUCUUCCACAAUGGACGAAAGUCUGAUGGAGCAACGCCGCGUGAGUGAUGAAGGUUUUCGGAUCGUAAAACUCUGUUGUUAAAGAAGAACAAGUGUUAGAGUAACUGUUAACACUUUGACGGUAUUUAACCAGAAAGCCACGGCUAACUACGUGCCAGCAGCCGCGGUAAUACGUAGGUGGCAAGCGUUGUCCGGAUUUAUUGGGCGUAAAGCGAGCGCAGGCGGUUUUGUAAGUCUGCUGUGAAAGCCCUCAGCUCAACUGAGGAAGUGCAGUGGAAACUACAAAACUUGAGUACAGAAGAGGAAAGUGGAACUCCAUGUGUAGCGGUGAAAUGCGUAGAUAUAUGGAAGAACACCAGUGGCGAAGGCGGCUUUCUGGUCUGUUACUGACGCUGAGGCUCGAAAGCAUGGGUAGCGAACAGGAUUAGAUACCCUGGUAGUCCAUGCCGUAAACGAUGAAUACUAGGUGUUGGAGGGUUUCCGCCCUUCAGUGCCGCAGCUAACGCAUUAAGUAUUCCGCCUGGGGAGUACGACCGCAAGGUUGAAACUCAAAGGAAUUGACGGGGGCCCGCACAAGUGGUGGAGCAUGUGGUUUAAUUCGAUGCUACGCGAAGAACCUUACCAGCUCUUGACAUCUUCUGCCAACCCAAGAGAUUGGGCGUUCCCUUCGGGGACAGAAUGACAGGUGGUGCAUGGUUGUCGUCAGCUCGUGUCGUGAGAUGUUGGGUUAAGUCCCGCAACGAGCGCAACCCUUAUUAUUAGUUGCCAGCAUUUAGUUGGGCACUCUAGUGAGACUGCCGGUGAUAAACCGGAGGAAGGUGGGGACGACGUCAAAUCAUCAUGCCCCUUAUGAGCUGGGCUACACACGUGCUACAAUGGAUGGUACAACGAGUCGCGAAACCGCGAGGUCAAG
rnacentral:rRNA from 2 species